UACGUAGGGUGCAAGCGUUGUCCGGAAUUAUUGGGCGUAAAGAGCUCGUAGGUGGCCUGUCGCGUCGGCUGUGAAAACUCGGGGCUCAACUCCGAGCUUGCAGUCGAUACGGGCAGGCUAGAGUUCGGCAGGGGAGACUGGAAUUCCUGGUGUAGCGGUGAAAUGCGCAGAUAUCAGGAGGAACACCGGUGGCGAAGGCGGGUCUCUGGGCCGAUACUGACACUGAGGAGCGAAAGCGUGGGGAGUGAACAGG
rnacentral:rRNA from 1 species